UACGGGGGGGGCAAGCGUUGUCCGGAUUUAUUGGGCGUAAAGAGCGUGUAGGCGGCCUGAAAGGUCAGCUGUGAAAACUCGAGGCUCAACCUCGAGACGUCGGUUGAAACCAUCUGGCUAGAGUCCGGAAGAGGAGUGUGGAAUUCCCGGUGUAGCGGUGAAAUGCGCAGAUAUCAGGAGGAACACCGAUGGCGAAGGCAGGUCACUGGGCCGCAACUGACGCUGAGGAGCGAAAGCAUGGGGAGCGAACAGG
rnacentral:rRNA from 1 species